UGCUGGGAUUACAAAUGUGAGCCAACACGCCUGACCUCAACUUUUUGAUGUAGACAUUUAGUACUACAAGCAUUCCUUCUAACACUGCUUUUGCUGCAUCCUAGAGAUUUUGGAUUUGUACCAUAUGUCUAAGUUGUGCAUGCCAAGGAUAAUGGAAACAAGACUGGCGAGGGGAGGCAUGGGUAGGACUUAAAAAUUCCAGAGGUCUGCAAAGGUUUCUUCUCAGGAUAUAUGAAAAACCAUCACAUAUCAUGCUGAAAUCAAGAUAAUAAUACCCUAUACCUGCUUUAAGGCCCAGCAAUUCCACUUCUAUGUAUUUAUCCAGGAGAAAUAAAAACACGUCUACUAAAAGACUCAUACAAGAAUGUUUAUGGAAACCAUAUUCACAAUAACCCCAAGCUGGAAAUGACCCAUAUGUCCAUUAAUAAGAGAACAGAUCAACAAAAUGUGGUAUAUGCAUACAAGGGGAUACUCCUCAGGAAUAAAAAAGGAACAAACUACUGGUAUGUGCAACACAGAUGAGUCUUGAAAACAUAUUGAGUAAAAGAAGCUUUAUAUAAAAGAGUACCUACUGCAUGAUUCCAUUCAUGUGGAGUUCUAGAACAGUUACAACCAACCUAUGGUGCAAAAAAUUAGAACAGUGACCAUCUCUGCGGGUGAGAAAAGGCAACUUUCUAGGAUGAUGAUCAUGUUUUCUAUCUUGAUAGCAGUUUGAGUUAGACAGACGUUAUGGACCAAAUUGUCUUCCCACAAAAUAUGUAUGUGGAAGCUCUAACUCCCAAUGUGACCAUGUUUGGAGACAGGGCUUUUAGGAGAUAGUUAAAUUUAUAUGAGAUUGUAAGAGUGGGGUCCUAAUCCAAUAGGACUGGUGGCCUUAUAAGAAGAGAAUCUCUCUCUCUCUCUCUGUCUGUCUUUCUCUCUUUAUCUCUCAUGAGAACAUAGAAGGCAGACACCUGCAAGCCAGAAAGAGAGCUCGCACUAGAAGCUAACCAUACUUACUCAUGGAUCUUGGAAUCUGAAGCCUCUAGAACUAUGAGAAAAUAAAUAUUGUUGUUUAAGCCACCCAGUCUAUGAUAUUUUGUGAUGGCAGCCUGAGCAGACUAAUGCAACACAUGCAUCCAUAAACACAACAACGUAGCCAGCACUCUGACCAGUGUACCCAAGCAGUCCCCUGUGCUAGCUUCCAGUUACCACCUUCUAAGGUAAACAUGCUCCUGAUUUUUAACACCAUCAAUAAUGAUACGACUUGCCUGCUUUUGAGUUUCACAGAAAUAGAAGCCUAAAGAAAAAUACUAAGAUAAUAAUACUAUAACUCAUUGUUUUGUUUUCAGGAGUGAAUGAGGUAACAUAGUAUACUUGGAAGAGUGCCUGGCAAGUAUUGGAUGUUGAAAUAUUGGUUCUCUUCUAUGACCUCUUUCUUCUUCCUGGUCACAGCAUGUAGCAGGUGGCUUAAUAAAGCAAGUUCUGUCUAUAUGACCUCCAUGAAAAGUGAACAGCCCUGCUCACUGCUCACUGACCAGCUGAUCUUCCACACACCCGAGUCUCUGAGAUGGAGCUAAAACAACUGUAUGCCUGGUUGAAAUGUCUACUUCCCAUUCAGAUAUUUAGACCUUGGUUAGACACCCACUAAAUGAGGCAUGUCUGUGCAAAAGCAUUCCAAACUGAGCAGAUGCAAAGAAAUAUUAUCCUUUAGAACCCAUUUGAUCCCUUUUUUAAACCCAAGAAAACAUAAAUGCAACAAUAGAUCAAUUUGACUGUAAAUAUUAUCUAAGUAUGUCCUUUAAAAGCCAAAGGAAUGUCAGAUACAAUUUAUUUUCCACCAGUGCAAGCUGAGACAUUAAGUGGCAAUUCUACUUCCAUUAGCUAAAUCUGGCAAAUAUGCAACUGUUUAAAGGCAUUGUCGAUAGCCAUUCACGAUUAAGUAUUUGUACUGAUGCCUUAUUAAAUUACCCUUUUCAAGUAGGCAUAAUAAACUAGGAGUUCACUGUGCAGAUUUUCAUGGGGAAAGUCAGAUCACUAUGGAAUUUAUUUAGAGAGAAUUUAGUGCACUGAGUAAUGAAGUAAAUGUCAAAUGUUUUGACCAAAUAAAUCUUAUCUUCCUUAAAACUUUUUUUUGAGGUCAAGAGACACAGCAAAAUAAAAAUCCCAGUGAUUAUAAUGGUCAUAAUUUAUAACUUUAUUGAAACAACUUUAAAACUUUGAUUGUUUUUUAAAUAAUGAAAUCUGUUUUGUUUUUAACUGACAGCAUUGCCCUACACAGGGGAUUUCUACUCUUCCUUUACAAAGCUGGUUUCUUCCAAACAUUAAGAUCUCUUACAGGGACUGAAUGAUAAAUGGAUGAAUGAGGAGGAUGAUGAAGGGGGAAGGUGAUGGAAGAAUUAGGACAAGGAGGCUAUGCAGGAGAUUGGUAAGCAAUGAGCUAAGAAGGCUUUGAGACCUAUUGAGAGAUUCUAAACUCCUGGAUGGGCCUAUCUGCAUUUUGUCUGCAAAGCAAUGGUAACUAGAAAAUUGGGCUGGGCGUGGUGGCUCACGCGUGUAAUCUCAGCACCUUGGGAGGCUGAGGGGGG
rnacentral:lncRNA from 1 species